rnacentral:rRNA from 1 species
AGUGAAUAGAUACCCCGGUAGUCCCAGCUGUAAACGAUGCGCGUUAGGUGUAUCGGUGACCACGAGUCACCGAGGUGCCGAAAGGGAAACCGUGAAACGUGCCGCCUGGGAAGUACGGUCGCAAGGCUGAAACUUAAGGGAAUUGGCGGGGGAGCACCACAACAGGUGGAGCCUGCGGUUUAAAUCGGACUCAACGCCGGGAAGCUCACCGGAUAAGACAGCUGAAUGAUAGCCGGGUUGAAGACUCUGCUUGACUAGCUGAGAGGAGGUGCAUGGCCGUCGUCAGUUCGUACUGUGAAGCAUCCUGUUAAGUCAGGCAACGAGCGAGACCCAGCCAACAGUUGCCAGCAUGUCCUCCGGGAUGGUGGGGACACUGUUGGGACCGCCUCUGCUAAAGAGGAGGAAGGAAUGGGCAACGGUAGGUCAGCAUGCCCCGAAUUAUCCGGGCUACACGCGGGCUACAAU